CUUAGCGAGGCCAUGGGGGAAAAAGUCUAACUGGCGGAACUCCUGGGAACUGGGGCGAUGGGCUCUUAGUAUCGGAGGAUUGGAGCCAUCUGAUUUUUACCUGAAAUUCCUUAGUCUCUCCUGUGUUGGGGAAAUGUCCCCUCUCACCAUGUCUGGCUGGCGGCGACUCAGAUGCCAUGAGAUGGCCAUUUGAAGACAGGCCUGCCGGACAUCAGGUCACCUUGCCUUCAGGGACCUGGGCUUUCAGCUGUCCAUACCUGGCCCUGGUUGAUGGCGGCAUGCUGGGCAGUGCACGUGAAGACGCACAUGAGACCGGGACUUGCUGUGUUGCCCAGGCUGGUCUUGAACUCCUGGUCUUAAGCAAUCAUACUGCUUUGGCCACCCAAAGCACUGGGAUUACAGGCGUGAACCACCACACCCAGCUCUUAAAACCACAGUAUUUCUAGGACUGCACCAAGGGGCAAUGCAGUACUGCAGCCUUCCUCUGACUCAGUUUGGAUUCUCUCUGUCCGUUCUCACCACACUACUAAGGAGAGAACAGUGCCAGGCAGGGGAAGGAGAGGUACCUGAAGUUCUUUCUCCAGUUGAGCCUGAAGCUCUUCCAUCCCCGAGGGCAGCACUAGCCUGGAGGGCAGAGAGGUCGAGCGUCUCAACAGCAUGGGGUUGGCACCAUUGAGGAACUGGUAGCUGAACAACUCAUCAUCCUGCCAGCACUGGCGAACCUUCUCUUUGGUGGGCGGUGAAAGGAGGAUAUAUGUACCACAGCCUGCAUAUCCCUUCUCCAAAAUCUACCCCAGGGGUUCAGGUAUAUAACCCUCCCUGAACCCAGCUUCUGCGUUUUCAUUCUCAAGGCCUCUCUGAGUUGACCAGAUAUGAUAAGGUCUCU
rnacentral:lncRNA from 10 species